UGUAUAUAUUUUUCUAUUAGUUCUUUUUCUGGAAGUGGACAUUUCAUAGUUGCUCUUUAAACAAUAUUUCUGUUGCUUUAUGUCAUGUUCUCUUGGUUCUGCUCAUUUCACUCUAUAAUUUCAUUUAGGUUUUUCCAUGUUUGUUUGUUUGUUUCAAAUUAACCUGCUUGUUAUUUCUUACUUUGCAGUAGUAUUCCAACACAAUCAGAUUUCAAAACUUGUCACUUUGUCUUUCAUUUUUGAAGGAGAUUAAUGACACCACAAAUUAAUGAUUUCUUGGCUUUCACAUAAAUCGAAUUUAAGAGAGGCAGAAUUGCACAAAUUUGUCAGCUUCACUCUCUAUUCCAGUCUUCUGUAUCCAGUGGCAAGACAAAAGUCAGAAUGACUGCUGAUGUCCUGGAAUGCAGAGGAUGAUUCUUGGCAUCUUUGAUAUCUUACCAAGCUCUAAGUGCUCCACAGUGCUUACUUCAUCUGUCUUCAUGGCUGUUGGAACAAAUGGUUCUCAUCUGCCUAUUCCUCCAGGAGAAGUCUUCACAUGAUUAAGGUAUGGCACUAAGAUGACAGAGUAGAAUCAGAAAAAGCUUGAACCAUGAUGAGAAUCCUCUCCAAACAACCUAAAAUAACACCUCAAAAUGAAUACUGGUGUGAAAGAACCAUCAAGGAGACAGAAUGAAGCAACUUUCAUGUAAAGAACAAGUUGAAAGAAUGAUGAAAAAAACAUUAAUACAAUUCAUCUGGAAGAACAAAAGGUCAAGAAUAUCAAGGGAAUUAAUGAAAAUAAAUGCGAAGGAAUGUGACCUAACAGUACCAGAUCUCAAACUCUACUUAUAAAGCGGGACUCCUGUGGUAAAAUUGAUACUAUGUACUAAAGAAUUUUUAUUUGAGUUGAAUUUCCUCC
rnacentral:lncRNA from 1 species